AACGAACGCUGGCGGCAUGCCUAACACAUGCAAGUCGAACGAGACCUUCGGGUCUAGUGGCGCACGGGUGCGUAACGCGUGGGAACCUGCCCUUAUGUUCGGAAUAACUCCCCGAAAGGGGUGCUAAUACCGGAUAAUAUCUUCGGACCAAAGAUUUAUCGCCUUUGGAUGGGCCCGCGUUGGAUUAGCUAGUUGGUAGGGUAAAAGCAUACCAAGGCGACGAUCCAUAGCUGGUCUGAGAGGAUGAUCAGCCACACUGGGACUGAGACACGGCCCAGACUCCUACGGGAGGGAGCAGUGGGGAAUAUUGGAAAAGGGGCGAAAGCCUGAUCCAGCAAUGCCGCGUGAGUGAUGAAGGCAUUAGGGUUGUAAAGCUCUUUUACCCGGGAUGAUCAUGACAGUACCGGGAGAAUAAGCCCCGGCUAACUCCGUG
rnacentral:rRNA from 1 species